AGCGAACGCUGGCGGCAGGCUUAACACAUGCAAGUCGAGCGGGCACUUCGGUGUCAGCGGCAGACGGGUGAGUAACACGUGGGAACGUACCCUUUGGUUCGGAAUAACGCUGGGAAACUAGCGCUAAUACCGGAUACGCCCUUUUGGGGAAAGGCUUGCUGCCGAAGGAUCGGCCCGCGUCUGAUUAGCUAGUUGGUGGGGUAAUGGCCUACCAAGGCGACGAUCAGUAGCUGGUCUGAGAGGAUGAUCAGCCACACUGGGACUGAGACUCGGCCCAGACUCCUACGGGAGGCAGCAGUGGGGAAUAUUGGACAAUGGGCGCAAGCCUGAUCCAGCCAUGCCGCGUGAGUGAUGAAGGCCUUAGGGUUGUAAAGCUCUUUUGUCCGGGACGAUAAUGACGGUACCGGAAGAAUAAGCCCCGGCUAACUUCGUG
rnacentral:rRNA from 1 species